rnacentral:rRNA from 1 species
AGAGUUUGAUCCUGGCUCAGAAUCAACGCUGGCGGCGUGCCUAACACAUGCAAGUCGAACGGGAAAAGGGUUUUCGGACCCUGAGUAGAGUGGCGAACGGGUGAGUAACGCGUGGGUAACCUGUCCUUUGGUGGGGGAUAACCCGGGGAAACCCGGGCUAAGACCGCAUGAGCCUUCCGGAGCCUUCGGGCGAAGGAAGGAAAAGAGGCCUGGCGCUGGGAGAGGGGCUCGCGUUGGAUUAGUUAGUUGGUGGGGUAAUGGCCUACCAAGACUUCGAUCCAUAGCCGGCCUGAGAGGGUGAUCGGCCACACUGGAACUGAGACACGGUCCAGACUCCUACGGGAGGCAGCAGUGGGGAAUUUUGCGCAAUGGACGAAAGUCUGACGCAGCAACGCCGCGUGGGUGAAGAAGCAUCUGGGACUAAGGUUGGCAAUUUAAUAGAUAGUCAACUUGACGGUACCCGUAGAGGAAGCCCCGGCUAACUCCGUGCCAGCAGCCGCGGUAAUACGGGGGGGGCAAGCGUUAUUCGGAUUUACUGGGCGUAAAGCGCGCGCAGGCGGCAUGUUAAGUGAGAAGUGAAAGCCCCGGGCUCAACCCGGGAAGGGCCUGGAAAACCACUGGGCUGGAGUGCUGGAGAGGAAAGCGGAAUUUCUGGUGUAGCGGUGAAAUGCGUAGAUAUCAGAAGGAACAUCGGAGGCGAAGGCGGCUUGCUGGACAGACACUGACGCUGAGGCGCGAAAGCUAGGGGAGCAAACGGGAUUAGAUACCCCGGUAGUCCUAGCCGUAAACGAUGGGUACUUGGUGUUGGGGGUUUUUGAAGUCCCUCUGUGCCGGCGAUAACUCGUUAAGUACCCCGCCUGGGGAGUACGAUCGCAAGAUUGAAACUCAAAGGAAUUGACGGGGGCCCGCACAAGCGGUGGAGCAUGUGGUUUAAUUCGACGCAACGCGAAGAACCUUACCGGGGUUUAAACUUGGGUGGGAAUGUGCAGAGAUGUACAUGUCUUUUACGAGACUGCCACAGAGGUGCUGCAUGGCUGUCGUCAGCUCGUGUCGUGAGAUGUUGGGUUAAGUCCCGCAACGAGCGCAACCCUUGUCUGUAGUUGCCAUCAGGUUAAGCUGGGCACCCUACGGGGACUGUCGGCGAAAAGCCGGAGGAAGGUGGGGAUGACGUCAAGUCCUCAUGGCCUUUAUGCCCCGGGCUACACACGUGCUACAAUGGGCGGUACAAAGAGCAGCCAACUCGCGAGAGUGAGCGAAUCCCAAAAAGCCGUUCUCAGUUCGGAUUGCAGUCUGCAACUCGACUGCAUGAAGUUGGAAUCGCUAGUAAUCGCGGAUCAGCAUGCCGCGGUGAAUACGUUCCCGAGCCUUGUACACACCGCCCGUCACAUCACGGAAGUGGGCUGUACUAGAAGUCGCUGGGCUAACCUCGGGAGGAGGCAAGCGCCGACGGUAUGGUUCAUGACUGGGGUGAAGUCGUAACAAGGUAGCUGUAGGAGAACCUGUGGCUGGAUCACCUCCUU